rnacentral:rRNA from 1 species
UACGGAGGGUGCGAGCGUUGUCCGGAUUUAUUGGGUUUAAAGGGUGCGCAGGUGGCCCGGUCAGUCAGUGGUGAAAUGCGGCCGCUCAACGGUCGAACUGCCAUUGAUACUGCCUGGCUUGAGAGGAGUGGAGGCCGCCGGAACGGACGGUGUAGCGGUGAAAUGCAUAGAUAUUACUUAGAACACCAAUUGCGAAGGCAGGUUACCAUGAUUUAACUGACGCUGAGGGACGAAAGCGUGGGUAGCGAACAGG